CAGCCGCCGCGGUAAUACGUAGGGUGCGAGCGUUAAUCGGAAUUACUGGGCGUAAAGCGUGCGCAGGCGGUUCCAUAAGACAGAUGUGAAAUCCCCGGGCUUAACCUGGGAACUGCGUUUGUGACUGUGGGACUCGAGUGUGGCAGAGGGGGGUGGAAUUCCACGUGUAGCAGUGAAAUGCGUAGAGAUGUGGAGGAACACCGAUGGCGAAGGCAGCCCCCUGGGUCAACACUGACGCUCAUGCACGAAAGCGUGGGGAGCAAACAGGAUUAGAUACCCUGGUAGUCCACGCCCUAAACGAUGCGAACUAGGUGUUGGGGAAGGAGACUUUCUUAGUACCGCAGCUAACGCGUGAAGUUCGCCGCCUGGGGAGUACGGUCGCAAGAUUAAAACUCAAAGGAAUUGACGG
rnacentral:rRNA from 1 species